GUACACGCUGUGACUAGCAUAUCAAUAAGCGGAGGAAAAGAAACUAACAAGGAUUCCCCUAGUAACGGCGAGUGAAGCGGGAAGAGCUCAAAUUUGAAAUCUUAAAGGGUUUCCCUUUACGAAUUGUAGUUUAAAGAAGUGUUUUCUGUUGAGGUUUUGGUAAAAGUUCUUUGGAAUAGGACAUCAUAGAGGGUGAGAAUCCCGUAUUUGACCUUUACUUUCAACUUUGUGAUACACUUUCAAAGAGUCGGAUUGUUUGGGAAUGCAGUCCAUAAUGGGUGGUAAAUUUCAUCUAAAGCUAAAUAUUGGCGAGAGACCGAUAGCGAACAAGUACCGUGAGGGAAAGAUGAAAAGAACUUUGAAAAGAGAGUUAAACAGUACGUGAAAUUGUCAAAAGGGAAGCGUUUGACACCAGUGUUGUUUUUCUGAAAAUCAAUUAAAGAACUGUUUAUGCUAAGUUGUUUAGACUUUAUCAGCUAACUGUUUAGUUUUGAGCUUUUCUUUAAUGCACUUUUCAGUUAACAAGUCAACAUCAAUUUCUUUUGCUGUAAAAAAGCUUGAGGAAGGUGGCUUGAGAUUCGUCUUAAGUGUUUAUAGCCUCUUGCCUAUGCAGUCGGAGAGAUUGAGGUCUGCAGCGUAGAUCCUUCGGGGCUAAAUGCAUUUGUGCUAAGUUAUAGCAUUUUAUAGACAACUUGUUGACUAUGAUUUGUCUUGUAGCUUACUCGCUUAUGUUAUUUUACCUACGCUUAGGAUGUUGAAGAUGUAGCACAUCAU
rnacentral:rRNA from 1 species